UCUGUCACCCCGUGGAUCUCCAGGGUUCAUUCAGCUGAUCUGGCUGGCUAGGUAGG
rnacentral:sRNA from 1 species